ACACAGACACACACACACACACACAGACACACACACACAGACACACACAUACAGACAGACACACACACACAUACAGACACAUAGACACACAGACAGACACACACGCAUAUCUCUCUCACACACACACAGACAUACACACACACACACAUAUCUCUCACACACCCAAACAUGUGGGAAAAAAACGAAACCCGACUCCACAUCGAGACGUCGCCGGGUCCCCGGAGGUCGUCUGGAGGUCGUCUGCAGGUCGUCUGGAGGUCGUCUGGAGGUCGUCUGCAGGUCGUCUGGAGGUCGUCUGCAGGUCGUCUGGAGGUCGUCUGCAGGUCGUCUGCAGGUCGUCUGGAGGUCGUCUGCAGGUCGUCUGGAGGUCGUCUGGAGGUCAUCUGGAGGUCGUCUGGAGGUCGUCUGCAGGUCGUCUGGAGGUCGUCUGCAGGUCAUCUGGAGGUCGUCUGCAGGUCGUCUGGAGGUCGUCCGCCGCCGUCCGUCUCUCCCUCGACGCUCUGUGAUGUUCCGAUGUGCCGUGCGUGACCUCGGUGGGUUCCGUGCUGUUUUUCGUGUUCCGUAAACUCUCCGCGGCGUCUGACCGCCGUCGUCCCGACAACCGCUUCUUCCUUCCAGGCCCGCGUGCCGCCGGCGUCCGGCCGCCUCGUAUGUUCAUGUGCAGCCGGGUCAAAAGGUCACGGUGAGGUUCCUCUCCUCCGGUGGUUUCCCCCCCGAAGCUUUCACAAACAACAACCGUGUACGAUCAAAGCCUCUCGGCUGCUUUUCCACGCCAUUCUUACGGAGAGUAUUAAAUGUCCCGUAUGUAAACGCCGCGCCGCGUGAGACCGGCUGAGUCCGCUCCAUCACGCCGACCCGUCGCCCUGAAGUAUUUUACUACCCAAGAGGAAAACGUCUUUCAAAUAUAUGAUGUGUAAGCAACAAUGUAAAUAAUGUUAUUUUUGAUGUUGAUGAAUAAAUAUGUAUUUGAAACAUC